rnacentral:rRNA from 1 species
CGUCAGGAUGGGGUCAAAGAUUUAUCGCUGAGAGGUGGGCUCGCGUCUGAUUAGAUAGUUGGUGGGGGUAACGGCCUACCAAGUCGACGAUCAGUAGCCGACCUGAGAGGGUGAUCGGCCACAUUGGGACCUGAGACACGGGCCCAAACUCCUACGGGAGGCAGCAGUGGGGAAUAUUGGGCAAUGGGGGGAACCCUGACCCAGCAACGCCGCGUGGAGGAAGAAGGUUUUCGGAUCGGUAAACUCCUGUCCUCAGGGAAGAGCAGAAGACGGUACCUGAGGAGGAAGCCCCGGCUAACUACGUG